rnacentral:rRNA from 1 species
UUUAUGGAGAGUUUGAUCCUGGCUCAGGAUGAACGCUGGCGGCGUGCCUAAUACAUGCAAGUCGAGCGAACGGAUGAGAAGCUUGCUUCUCUGAUGUUAGCGGCGGACGGGUGAGUAACACGUGGAUAACCUACCUAUAAGACUGGGAUAACUUCGGGAAACCGGAGCUAAUACCGGAUAAUAUUUUGAACCGCAUGGUUCAAAAGUGAAAGACGGUCUUGCUGUCACUUAUAGAUGGAUCCGCGCUGCAUUAGCUAGUUGGUAAGGUAACGGCUUACCAAGG